rfam:Myotis davidii contig108166, whole genome shotgun sequence.
AGCGGUUCUCUGGUGACACACCCCAGAAUUGGGCUCCCUCCUCUCUAGUGCCGGGUGUGUCACCUGAGAACCACA